rnacentral:rRNA from 1 species
AGAGUUUGAUCAUGGCUCAGGAUAAACGCUGGCGGCGUGCCUAACACAUGCAAGUCGAACGCUCUGAGCAAUCAGAGAGUGGCGGACGGGUGAGCAACACGUGGGGACCUACCCUUCGGUGAGGAAUACCGGCGAGAAAUCGUCGACAAGACUGCAUAGGCUCGGCUGACCCCGAGCAAAGCUUCGACAGAGGCGCCGGAGGAUGGACCUGCGGCCGAUUAGCUGGUUGGUGAGGUAAGAGCCCACCAAGGCGACGAUCGGUAGCUGGUCUGAGAGGAUGAUCAGCCACACUGGGAUUGAGAACGGCCCAGACUCCUACGGGAGGCAGCAGUGAGGAAUUUUCGGCAAUGGGGGCAACCCUGACCGAGCAACGCCGCGUGCAGGAGGAAGGUCUUCGGAUCGUAAACUGCUUUUCUCGGGGACGAGUGCGGACGGUACCCGGGGAAGAAGCCCCGGCUGACUACGUGCCAGCAGCCGCGGUAAUACGUAGGGGGCGAGCGUUGUCCGGAGUGACUGGGUGUAAAGCGCCCGCAGGCGGUCCGUCGCGUUUGAGGUAACAGCUCCCGGCUUCACUGGGAGAGCGUCUCAAAAACGGGCGGACUUGAGGGCCAGAGAGGGAGACGGAAUUCCGGGUGGAGUGGUGAAAUGCGUAGAGAUCCGGAGGAACACCGAAGGCGUAGGCAGUCUCCUGGCUGAUACCUGACGCUCGGGGGCGAAAGCGAGGGGAGCGAACGGGAUUAGAUACCCCGGUAGUCCUCGCCGUAAACGAUGACCACUAGGUGUGGGAGGUAUCGACCCCUUCCGUGCCGUAGCUAACGCAGUAAGUGGUCCGCCUGGGGGAGUACGGUCGCAAGAUUAAAACUCAAAGGAAUUGACGGGGACCCGCACAAGCAGCGGAGCGUGUGGUUUAAUUCGACGCGACGCGCAGAACCUUACCAGGGUUUGACAUGCCCCUGCACCGGCCAGAGAUGGUCGUGCCCGCAAGGGACGGGGGCACAGGUGCUGCAUGGCUGUCGUCAGCUCGUGCCGUGAGGUGUUGGGUUAAGUCCCGCAACGAGCGCAACCCCUGUCGUCGGUUGGAUAUGUCCGACGAGACUGCCUCGAUCAACGGGGAGGAAGGCGGGGAUGACGUCAAGUCAGCACGGCCCUUACAUCCUGGGCGACACACACGCUACAAUGGACGCGACAACGGGAGGCCAACCCGCGAGGGGGAGCGGAUCCCAGCAAAGGCGUCCUCAGUUCGGAUGGCAGGCUGCAACCCGCCUGCCUGAAGUCGGAGUUGCUAGUAACCGUGGGUCAGCAUACCACGGUGAAUACGUUCCCGGGUCUUGUACACACCGCCCGUC